AUCCUGCAUUUGCUGGGAAAUGGCUGCAGAUCUGUAUCUGGCCAGUAGAUGGCAGUGUGGUCACACUUGUUAAUACAGUGGUUUCUUGAUGUCGCACGUUUGAUGUCAUCGCUGCGCGACAGCCAAAUGCCUCGGCGGGAGACUGACAAAGAAGAGAGGUGAGAUAGCACCGUCCAGGUCCUUCAGAGUGCUGGGUUGGCCUUGACGGGUUGUCAACCAUUUUGAUAAGGCCACUGCUGUUGUCUUUAGUUGUUUAUUAUUUUCAUUUUGCAAGAAAAAAGAAGCCAAAUCAAACCAAAAUUAAUGCUGUUCUCCUGUGGGGAAACAGUCGGGAAAUAAAGAGCCACAUUUUUUCUUUGGGAGCUGCCCGUGUCUGGUCCAUUAUUAUACACCUGGUCACACACGGCACACCCCCAGCUCUUUUUGGUACCAGAAGUGGGGUUUCCAGGAGAUUUGGCACUUUUUGAGUUCAUUAAUAUUUUUUUUAAGACAACAGUAGCGGUGAAGAGGCGUCCCACCCAGGUGAAGAUACGGCAGCUGUGUGAGAAUCUGCUGCAACAGCUUUGAGGGCUCAAGGACGAAGUGUGACUGCAACUUGAGAGAUAUUUCAAGAUGUCGGAUGCUGAGGACGGACCAGACGUUUCUGCGCAUGGACCGAGCAAUGCUGGAGUCGUGUCGGCAGGAGGGGAUUCAGCUGCACCUCUGUCAGGGAGUGGUAACCAAAUAUUAGAGUUACAAGCACAGCUUAAUGAACUGAGUCAAAAACAUGAGCUGUAAUGUCAAGUAUUGCUUCUUUGGGUGAUGUGCAACCAAGGUCUAUUGUGUAUGUACCAAGAGAGAAGCAGAUUGUACCUUUUAAUGGUGACCCUGGUAAAGAUGCUCACUCGGUAGACAAGUUCAUUGAUGAGGUUGAGCGGGCUAUGAGUCUUAGGGGUCUGAGGGAAAGAGACCAAGUAGACUUUAUUCUGUCACACGUCAGAGGUUGUGCGUUAGAUGAAAUCAAGUUACGUACACAUGGACAAACUGUUGGACCCAGGGAUUUGUUUUCUUACUUACGUGAGGCAUUUAGAGAGAAACAAACAACACCACAGUUGUUACAUGCAUUCUAUGCACACAGACAGUCUGAGGGUGAGGACUUAAAAGAUUACUUACAUGCGCUCUCUCAGUUGUUAAACUCCGCUCUGUUAACUUCUCCUAAUG